rnacentral:rRNA from 1 species
GACGAACGCUGGCGGCGUGCUUAACCCAUGCAAGUCGAACGGGCCCGCUCUCUUUUUUGGGGUUGGGUUGAGUGGCGAACGGGUGAGUAUCACGUGAGUAACCUGCCCCCUGCUCCUGGAUAACUGCUUGAAAGGGCGGCUAAUACGGGGUGUGCCGGCUGGUCCGCAUUGUCCUGGUCGGGAUUGUUUCAUCUCCGGGUGUUUCGGUGGGGCUUGGGCUCGCGGCCUAUCAGCUUGUUGGUGGGGUGAUGGACCACCAAGCCGGUGACGGGUAGCCGGCCUGAGAGGGUGGGCGGCCACACGGGGAGGGAGACACGGGCCAGAAUCCUGCGGGAGGCAGCAGUGGGGGGUAUUGCAGAAUGGGGGGAAGCCUGAUGCAGCGACGGCGCGUGAGGGAUGGAGGCCUUCGGGUUGUGAAACUCUUUCUCCGGUGGUGAAGGCUCUGUCCGUUGCGGCGGGGGUGACGGUAGCCGGGUAAGAAGCGCCGGCUAACUACGUG